rnacentral:lncRNA from 1 species
UCCUGUGAUAAAAAAUUUAACCUAAUUUUAGCAUGCUUCGAUUACCGAAUAUGAAAUAACUCCACCCUCCCUAAUCAUCAAUCCCACAAACAUUCCAAACAUAGAAGUGCUGCCUGUAGGGCUACAGUACCAUCCAAGACCCUCUCCUUCAGAUAUAUAUACCUAAACUAAGAAACAUAUAACAUAUGCCUUACUCUAGCAAAUUGGAUCUGAUCCAUGGUUAGAGUCCUUGGCUCACUUUCCAUUGAUGAUUUUCUUUGAAUCCUCACCAUGGCUGUAUCACCUUCCAUCAUUUAGAGAGAGAGAGGUAGCGAAUGAAGCUCUGUGAGCAAGGAGAGGGGGCCUGGAGGAUAUGGUAUUCUUGUGCAAUGUUGGACCUGCACGUACGUGAAAGAGAGCAGCGAAAUCUUUAUACAGGUGAGGUGAUACGUGGCUAGGGGUUAGCUGUUCCACCGCCUAAAGUAACUUCUCAAUGUAGAACCAUCAAGAUCCGACCACGUGGCAAGCUAGGGAUCGUUGAUGGGACACGUGUCAAGUGAUCAUAUCUCCGUCUCUGUUCAAGAAAUCUUUCGGUCCCUAUGUGUACAUGUUCCAUUAGAGGAUAGACUUGUAAGAUUUUGGUUUAGUUAGGUGUUCCUUAUGGUACGGCAACCAAUAAAAAAGGGCCACCUGAUUGGUAGGUGUUUGGUGUUGGAAAUACUGUGACGAACAGAAACAACAAGAAGCAAACCCGAUAUGUGUAAAGACACUCUUUUUAUGGAUAUUUCUCCAUUAUUCAACAUGUUCAUCCUUCAAUCAAGGGAUGCAAGAAGAAUCCAAGCAAGGUACGAGACAAUAAAUUUAUCAUGUAGCAAGCGAAAUAAAUUUAUAUUGGAGAAUUAAAUAGCUGUUAUAAUAAUUUUGAAAAAAAAGCUGUUACAAUGAUUUUUAAAAAAGAGUUGUUGAAUAAUUAAUCCAGCAACUGUUAUAAUGGUUUUAAACAAAAGAGCUAUUAAACAAUAUAUUUUGGAGUUUAAAAAAUUACAAACUAUUAUUGAAGAUAAAAAUUUUAAAAAAAAUAGGUGUUGCUUCAUAUACAGUAGAUAAUUAAAAUUUCUUCUCUUACUCGGCUUGAUUUAAUACGCGUGAAUCCACUAUCUAUUUUUUUUUAUUACAAUCUCAUAUCAAAGUUUACUAUAUAAAUACUAGAUAAAAAUUUUAUCUUUUCAUCGUUGGAUAAAAAGCCUAUUAAUAUAUAUACUUUAUAGAAAGUUGUAUUUUUUUAAUGUGAGAGAAGAAAAUUUUUUAGUUUAAAUAUUUUAACUUAAAAUGAGAAGAUAAUAUAUUUCCAUCAUAAGAUAAAUUUUUUUUUCUAAAAUAAUCUUCAUUAUUUAUAAUAUUAGGUAUUUGGACAUGUGUAUUAUGAUGAUUAGUGGGUUGAAUAUUAAACGAGUGUUUGAGAGUGAUAAUUUUUGUUUUUUGAUACAUUUUAAAGGUAUAUUUGACUUGAAAAUGCAUUAAAAUAAUAUUUUUUAGUACUUUUCUAAUAAGUUUGAUGUGUUAUUAUUAAAUAAAAAUUAAUGCAUUUUUACAUAAAAAAUACUUUACACCACAAUAUUAAACACAAUAAUUACUUGAUAUUCAACACUAAAAAACAUUGUUUUUUGUUGCGUUGCAAUUUGCAUUCCAUCGCAUUGGCAAACAAUGUUGUUUAGGGGUGUGGUGUGUUUGGAACGUCAAGCAUAAGGGCAUUCACAGUCCAGUUCAGUCCGGUUUAAACAUAAAAAUUCAAUCUAAUAGGAAAAUAAUAUUCUUUGUUAAUAUAACCCAAACCAAAUCAAGAACAGGUUCAAACCGAACUAGUUUUGCUCAAGUCGGGUCGUUUUUUUAGCAUUAAAAACCAAAAAAGCCAGAAACCAAUUAAAUGAGCUUGUUUUUAUUAUUGUCAUUGUGCCAAAGCUCUCUUACUCCAUUUCUCACAUAGUUUGUGCAUAUCCAUAAAUGGUUAAUGAAAUAAAUUGAGAUGUAGGAUUAUUAUCUUUAACAUUAAAAGAUAUGAUGAAUCAAAGUUGAGAGAAAUACUUAGAUUUGCAAAUGCACAUGAAACCAUUACAAUCACCAUUGUUUAUGAUUGAUGAUAAAAGUGAAGUGAAGAUUGUGAAAAGCAUUGCCAUAUAAGAGAUUAGAGAGUGAUUAUGGGAGAAGGUGGGGAGGUGUGGUAUCAAAACUUAAAAGGAGGAUUAACACUUCAUAUGAGAGAAAAAUGAAAGGGAAGAGCACAGAUCAGGAGAGGGGGGUGGCCGGAAAGGAAAAGAAUGAUUUAGGGUUAGGGUCAUUAAGGAUGUUUCUUUUUAUAUAUAUUUUUUAAAUUAUUUAGAUUCAAUUAAACCGAUCCAGUUCAAUAGGUUUUGAAACCGAAACCAGACCAAGUGAUUUUUUUAUUUUUUAAUCGAUUUAUUUGAUUUUUUCUAUCGGUUUGGUUUUUUCAAUUAAUUUUUUUUUGGUUUUUUCAGUUUAAUUGGUUAGUCAGUUUUUUUAAACACCCCUACUCAUACACGUGAGGCAUACCGGAAUUAUGGAUUGAAGAUACGUGUUUGUGAAAAUUUGUGAUGAUAAGACUGGUUUAGCCCGAGAAAAGACACACAAAGAUCUUAUAACAAAUAAAUCUUUUCUUUACCAUUUUUAAUCAAUCAUUUUAAAACAUUUUGAUCACUUCACAUCACAUAACCAAUAAUUAUUUUUAUCAUGCCUACACAAAAAAAAUUGUAUGUCUUAAAUGUUUGUUAUUUAUAGUGAAUUCAUAAGAUAUUUUUGUCAAUAUUUUAUGCAUAAAAUCCAUUAUCAUUUGGGGACAAACGGUCACGGCACUUAGACACAGUAAUCAUGGGGACCUGAAGAAAAUUUGUCAAUAGACUUUGGAAAAUUGGUCCCGAGAACCUAGCAAUAUAAUGGAGAUUAACAUAGAAUUUUCUAUAAAAAUUUCAUGGAAACUAUAAGGGCCCGGCCCAACUUGCCAUAUAUUGUCCGUUUUGGACCUUACCGCCCUUACGGUUUUGUUCCUGGUGACGCGAACCCAUUUCUGAGCCUGACGCCCGAAAACACGUAUAACAAGUUGGCAACCAGCACCACUUAUAAGGCCAACAACACACCCCUUAUCCGUCGAUGUAGGAUCUUACAAUCCACCCCCUUUAAGGAGCCCGACGACCCCGUCGGCACAACCGGACAACUAGUGAGGUCGGCUCUGAUACCAAAUGUAGUGACCCGGCCCAACUUGCCAUAUAUUAUCCGCUUUGGGCCUUACUGCCCUCACGGUUUUGUUCUUGGUGAUGCGAGCCCAUUUCUGAGCCUGACGCUCCAAAACGCGUAUAACAAGUUGGCAACCAGCAUCACUUAUAAGGCCAGCAACACACCCCUCACCCGCCGAUGUGGGAUCUUGCAGAAACCCUUUAUCUUAUAUGAGGUAACACAUCCAGAAGAUUAUUUCAUGUUUGUUCAUAUUAUAUCUUAUCCUUCAUAAACUCUUGAAGUUACCAUUUAAGAUUAAUCUUUCUAUCUCUUUUGUGAAAGGUGUGGUCACGAGCUUGAAAAAUAUCGGAUGAUCACAGAUAUAUCUCUUGGUGUUUCUUUUAUAUGCUCUUGUUAGAGAUUAAUAGCGUAGUUGUGACUCUUUAUGUGUAGAAACAUGGGUGACAUUGUAUAGUCACGUUAGCUUCUCCCAUUUUAGUGUAAUUUUUCAUGGAUGAUGAGUUUUGAGCCUAUCUUAAUUUUGCAAAACAAGUCUUGUAUGGACGAGGCACACUCUAACGCUUAGGUUAGUAUUUGAAUUUGUUUGAUUAAGUGACAAGCAUGUAUAAAAUCGAGAUGAUUAAAUAAGUGUUUUUUUGUGUGUAGAGAAAAUAUGUUAAGUAUAAUGUUAUUUAGAUCAAUCCCUUUUCUUUCUCUCAAAACUUGAUAAUAUAUAAUCUUAAAAAAUAUCUAAAAAAAAUAUCUUGUGUAACUCACCAAGAAACAUGAAAGGUGACAAUUUUCUUUCAUGCUAAUUUCCACCAUGCACCUAUAUCUGAAGUCCUAACUGUACAAGUAUAAAAUAAAAAAGUGAAAUAGAAUAGAGAGAAAGGGAAAACAGAGAAGGGCAGCUCAUUUAAGCCAUGACCCAAGUAAGCUAAAAUAGCACAACACAACCGAGUUGAAAAUACAUACUUUGUUUAUUUUUACGUUUUAAAAGUAUUUUUUUAAAAAAUAAUUUUUAUUUUUUUAUUUUAAAUUAAUAUUCUUUCAGUGUUUUCAGAUUAUUUUGAUACGCUGAUAUCAAAAUUAAUUUUUAAAAAAUAAAAAAAUAUUAUUUUAAAUGAAAAAUAUUUAAAAAAAUAACUGCGACCACAUUCUUAAACAGCCUACCUCCAUAACUUCAAUAUAUAGUGAUUUUUUUUACCUAACAGCUUACAACAGAACCAGUCAGUUGGAAUUUGGGCCUUGAAAUGUUUACCAACCAAAAAAUUAGUUGGUGGCCUUUAAACAAUUGACAUGGGGCAAAGAUAAAGAAAAAUAUUAAUGGUUAUGAAUGUAUUUAAAGAAUAUAAUGUAUAUACAAUAUCUGUGAUAAUUUCACUCCGUUUAUUUUAUUUUUUUUACCAGAGACUGUCUCAGAAUCUCUAUUUUUCUUAACCAUGGAGACUAUCGUAGGAACAUUAAUCUGAGAAGCUAUUUAAAACUGUUUUUAAGAGUAUUUUUAUUUAAAAAUAUCUUUAAAUAAUAAUUAUUAUUUUUUUUAACUUAUUUAUAACAUCAACAUGUUAAAUUGAUUGAAAAUUAUAAAAUAAUAAUUUCAAAAAACAAAAAAAAAUUAAAAACACUUUUUAAUAAAAAACAAACACAGAGAGAAACACCUGCCAAACUGGAGCUGUUCUUUCCAGUUGUCCCGUCGACAUCAUGCAUGAAUGGGUUUUAGGUCAGCUUUGGAGAGGACAAUAAGGGGGAUCUGCAGAAUCUUACCUUUUCAUUUUGGAUUUGACUGGUCGUGUCGUUUGUUUCCAGUCGUUGUUUCCCCUUUUGUGAUUUAAUUUGUCGGCCAAACAUUAAAGAAAUAGCUUAAAAAGAAAAACAAAGAAAUUUGGCCUCCUUCUCGGUAAACGUUACCGUAUCAAUAUCAUCGUUCCACUCCUUUACGUAAAUUAAAUCCUUAAUUUAUUCCCUAAUUUAUGUACAUAUCAUCUCCAGACUGGGUCAUGUAAUUAUCCAUUUCUUUUUUAAAAAAUAUUAAUUUUAUAACAACUGACGGUGUUAACUGAGUUCCAAUUCCACUAAUUUAUAGUAUGAUUAAGAGUAUAAUUAUAAUUAUUUUUUAAAAUAUUUUUUUAUAUUAAAAUACAUUAAAAUGAUAUUUUUUAUUUUUAAAAAAUUAUUUUUGAUAUUUGUGUAUCCAAACAAUAUAAAAUAUAAAAAAAAUAAUUUUUUAUAUUAAAAAAUUAAAUUUAUUAAAAACACGAGUUAAUUUAUAUUUCUAAACAUAAAUUUAAUAUUAAAAUUAAUUCAAAAUAAAACUUAACCCACGUGAUAAUGGAUUUACUGCACUAACCCGCUCAAUCGGAUUGAAUUUAAAAACUUUUUCUCUGUUGAGUUUCGAAACAAAACUUUUAUAGUCAGCAAAAUCUCGUGAACAACGAAAUCUCUGGUCAAGAAAGGGAAAACAAGAGAUUUAAAGACAAAAAAACGAAAAGGGUGAGGAUACUUUUGGGUAUGUCACAUACAUACGAAAUUAGGUACGUGGCAUUUAGCUUUAGUUCAUAUCAAUCUAAUCAUCGUAGGCAAUUAUUAUUUGGUGAGCACAAAACUCAGUCAAAGCUACUGCGUGUCUAAUAUUAUUAUGAUGUAAAUUAUAUUUUUUAAAUGUAUUAAAAUAAAUUUUUAUUUUUACUUUUUGUAUUAGCGUAUUAAAAUAUUAUAAAAUAAAAGCUACUAUACUUUUUUUUUUUUUAGCUAUAAUAUCUUAGAGAAAGAUGUGAAAUUUGGAUGCAUACUUGUGAAGAAGCUUGAAAAUGUUUUAUUGAUAAUUAUGUAUCAUAGAAAUUUCUCCUCCAUACAAAUGCUAUUUUUAAAAAUGAGCAAAAAAACUAAAAAAUCGAUUAAACUAAAAAAACUAGAAAAAUAAUAACCGAAAAAACCGAAUCUUUAAAAAAAUUCGAUUAAAAUUUUUUAAAAAUUAACCGAUUAGGUUUCGGUUUUAUAAGUCUAAAACCAAAAAAAUCAAACCGAACCCAAACAAAAAAAACCGGAAAAAAACCAAGCCAGAUUGAAAAACUGAGCAAAACUGGUUUGAACCGGUUUUGGUUUGGUUUUAAUUUUUUUAAAAAAAAUUUAGUUUAAUUACUUCUUUUUUUUUGUAAUAAAUACCUAACUAUUCCUUACCAUUGACAAUAUCUCUACAUGCUCAAACAACUUUAUUUUAUUUUUCGUUUUAAAUCUCGACUGAUUUUUUUUCCAUUGAGUUUUAAACAUAUUAUUAUAUCCAAACAGAGUACGUAUUUUUUUUUCUACGUUUUUGAAAUAUAAAUCAUUAGUGAAAUCAUGCGUGAUAAAAUCCAUUUUCAUCCUAACAAAACCUUUUAGGAUCCUGGUUAAAUAGUUUUAUUAAAAAGAAGGGAAAAAAAGAGUUAAUUUUGUUUCUUUAAUACAAGAAUAAGUGUACUUUUUUAUGUGAACAGUCUCAAUACCGUCUUGACUCUUAGGCGAAAUCAAUGACCCCCCCCCCCCCUCCUAAUUUUGUUAAAGAACGAUGAACUCGACUAGACUUUCAUUUUCUUACCAACCAAACACUAUUUACUUUUAAUAUGUCAGAGUUAGAUGCAUAAGGUAACUAAGGGUGUUUUAGAAUUAUAAUACAUUUUGAUAAAAAAUAUUUGUGAAAAUAACACAAGUUAGAAAAGCAUUAAAGAAAUAAUAUAGUUUGAAUACAAUUGAUGUUAAAAAUAGCAGUAGAAGAGAACCUUUAUGAAAAAUAAUAAUUGUUUUAAAAAUUAUAUAUUUCUCAAUUUAAUUAUUAUUUAUAAAAAAUCAACCUAAAAUUUUAUAAAAAUUCAGUGAUCAAGAAAUGAGACUCAACAACGGAAACACAUUGAAGUUCCAUUUUCAAUAUACCUAAUAUUGUUAGAAAAAUCUUGACAAAAAUAUUUUAACAAUACAUUAAAAAACAAUCAAACAUAAUUGUAAUUUGUUGAGUCUUCUUCGAGGUUAAUUACAACCUCAUUUGCUGUUAUUUUAAGGUGUGGUUGCGAGUUUAACGAGAUAAUCCGUGUUGGUUAUGUUUUAAUGACAGAGGUUAUAAAUUUUCUAUGUUAAUUCGAGUUGAUUAAAAUCAAUUUUUUUAGAUUUUUUUCUUACUUGAAAUUUUCCUUUUGUAUUUAAUGGUAUGAAAAUUAAGCUAUAAUUUUUUGUUUCAUUUUAAAAAAUAUUUUUUUGUUAGAUUAUCAUUUUUUUAAUCUUAUCUAUUUGUCGCCAUUGUCUUUUUUUUUUUUUUGCAAUAACUUGAUUAAAAUAAAAUUAAUUUAUUUAACAUAGUCAUGUUGCAACUCGUGUCGCGAAUUCUUCUCCCUUUAUUUGAAAUGUGUUUGCAGCACAUCGACAUCAUUUUUUAUGAAAAAAAUCAAUCUUGUGGUAUAGCUUGUAUGAUUGUAUCCAUAGCUAGUGUGUACUCUAGUCACUCUAUACUAAAUCCUUCCUUUGUCAAUUUUCAAUAAACAUCUUUUACAAGGAUUAAAAUUCACCUAAUUCAUCAUAUAUUUUAUGUAAUUUGAUCUGGUUAGAUCAGAUUUUUAUCCAACUUGACAAGAGAUAGAUGUGAAAAUGGGUGAGAGGUUUACCCAACCAAGAAAUAGAUGUGCAGAUGGGUGAGAGGUUUACCCAUCCCAAUCUUCCUGGUUUUUUAACCCUUUUAUUUUAUUUUAUAGACGUGUCAUUUUAUUUUUCAAAAUAAUAUAUAAACAUUUAUCUUAUUAUUUACAAAGUAUUUUUAUGAUUUAUGGAUUUAAUUUUUAAAUUUUAUUUUACAUUUUUAUGAUUUAUAAAUAAAAAUAUAUUUUGUUUAUUUUAGAGUUAGACUUUAUCUUUUAAUAAUUAAUUUAAAAAUAAAAAAAAUAAAGCCAGGUUAGGUACUCAGUGGGUACUCGUCAGGUAAAGAAAGUUUUCCUUCUAACUAAUUGAAUUGUUGCGAAGACACGUAAUAAAUUUAGAUAAUUUCAAAAUUAAGCUCCAACCCCUUCCUUAGCCUAAUGGACAUACAAAAAGAUUAAUUUUUUUAUUAUUUAAUAGAUGGUUUAUUAAUAAAAAUUUGAGAUUAGAAAAUUUAUUUUCUUUAUAGUUUUAAGUUCGAGUCUUGUGGUUGUUAAUAUGAUAGCCACUAAAAACUUAUAUGUUAUUAAUUUUUUUAUUAUUUAAUAGAUGGUUUAUUAAUAAAAAUUUGAGAUUAGAAAAUUUAUUUUCUUUAUAGUUUUAAGUUCGAGUCUUGUGGUUGUUAAUAUGAUAGCCACUAAAAACUUAUAUGGUUGUUACCUUUAGGGCCCGUGGUAUUAGUUGAUGUGCACGCAAACCAACUCGAACACCCACAUUAAUAAUAAUAAAAAAAAAUAAUUUUUCCCCCGAAUAUUAACUCUAAAUUUGAACUGUAGGAAGCCAAACCACCAAACUUACUAUUAAGAUGGUUAAAGUAUAAUAACUCAUCAACAACCUUUUCUCGGUGUUCAUGAAUAAAAGUUGAGCAAAAAAGAGAAAGUUUUAUAAAAAAAAAACAACGAAACACUCCUUCUAGCUUAUAUCUUAAUGCUGUAUUUGUUUUUGUGAUCUGAUGACGUUUUAAUUUUUUUUAGUGUUCAUGAACAAAAGUUAAGAGAAAAAAAAGAGAAUGUUUUAAAAUUAAAAACAACAAAACAAUUUCGCUUUCGCUAGCUUAUAUCUCUGAUUGUAUUUGUUUUUAUAGUUUAACCAUGUUUUUUAAUUUUUUUUGUUUUAAAUUAUUAUUUUUUGAUAUUUUUAAAUUGUUUUGAUGUUUUAGUAUUAAAAAUAAAUUUUAAAAAAUAAAAAAUAUUAUUUUAAUAUAUUUCUUUUAAGAAAAUAAAACCACCUUUCUUCUUAUCCGCACCUGACCAAAAUAAAAAAAAAUCAAAAAAUUAAAAAAAGCCUACAGCUCAUUCCCUCCCUCCUUAAUCAAGCAUCAAUCAAUCUUCGUUGAACCCACUUAUCUUUCUACUUAAUCAACCUUUUCUUAAUUCUACUUUGAACAAAAAUAAAAUUUAUAUAUAUUAAAAAAAAAACAAAAAACACAAAAACUGGCAUUGACAGAAUAUAUUCAACCUUCGCCAUUCCCAAGAACCAAACUAAAAACAAAAAAAAAUCUCUUUUUAAAUUAAUAAAUAAAAGUAAAUUGAAGGACUGGAAACAGGUAUCUUUCAUAGACACCAAUCCUUCUCUUCCCUCACUCCUCAAUCCUACCCUCUCUCUGUAUGGCUUGACCCGGUCUAUCACUCAGUACUGAUUCAUGGCCCAGUCCAAUCACAUAAGGCAAUGCUCUACUUCCCACCCUCGUCGCCGGAGAUCUUCUUGGUGUUGUUCCUUCGCUGUGCAGCCUUCAAGCCCGGAGAACCGUCCCUUCACAAAACCCGCUUUCCGCAAGAACAUGAAACCCGAUAGUUCGGUCUCUAAGCCUGGCCCCUACUCGGUCCCCAACUCACCCAAAUCCGGGUUAAAUUUUGUGGGUCGGAUCGACCCGAGAAGAAUGCUCUCUCCAGGCCGCGUCUCGCCUAUUGAUUCGGAUCCUACUGCCGACACGACCCGAGAUAUCAUACCCGACCCGUCACCUCAGGUGGAUUUGAGCUCGAAAUCGAGAUCCGAAUCUUUCCGGGGAAGGAGUGAGAGGAGGUCGUUUUCGGAUACUGGGUCAGAUUCGGGUCGGGGCGUUUUUGAUGCGAGGCUGAAUUUGAGAGGGAGGAAUGGUGGGGGUUUAGUGCUAGAGCUGGAUUCGGAGGUCUUGAUUGCAAAUUCAGAAGUUUUUGCGCGUUUGAUUUGCGAAUAUCGAAAAAAAUUGGGGUCGAAAUGUAUUAGUAACGAGGAUGGUGGUAAUUUGUCAAGAAAGAUUUGUAGAAUUGAAGUGCCUGAUGUGGAGAAUUUGGGAAUUUUUAGGGACACAAUUGAGUUGAUGUUUGAAGAGGAUAUUUCUAAAAGGUUACUCAAGAUUGGGGCUUAUAGAGCCAUUGACAUACUCGAGGUUAGUUGCUGCUGCUUCCUUUUCUUUUCUUUUUAAUUUGAAGAUUUUAGUUGGGUACUGUCUCUAUUUUGGAGGAGAAUUUUUUUUUUUUUAUGUUAUUUUGAUUUAGGGGCUUUGGAUCACUUAAGUUUGUGUAGUUACAGGAAUUGCUGUGAAUAGUUGUGCUAUGACUGUUUAACCUCAGUUAUUUGUACAUGACAUGUGCUUGUGGUCAAGCGUAAGGAUGCUAUGGAGACACUUGUGUAUGUCAUGCACGGAUGGUUGAGAUUGGACUGUCACAUCAAUUGCAAAUGUUCAAUUCAUUCUUCGCAGGCUUAUAUCUUAAUCCUGCUUUGUAUCGAUGCAAUACCAUUGCUCUACAAGAGCUAGAAUAGUGCUAUCCGAUUUUAAUUUAGAGUAAUGGAUAGGUUAAGGUAGCAGUUGGAUAGGGGUUUUGAGCAGUCGUGACAUCGUUGUCGUUGUUUGUGCAUGACUUGAGUAUAUGAACUGGUGGGAUUCCCAGGUGCAUGCCCGUGUAUGACACGGGCAAUUGAGAUUGAACAAUCACAUUGAUUGCAACUGUUAACAGUUUCCUUUGUGUGCUUUCUGGAAUACCUGAUAAUCUUGAAUAGAUGGUUAAGAUAAACAGUGAGCUAAGUGCUCCUUAAUUUUUUUCACUGCAUAGAAUUGUUCUCAAGGAAUCAAUGAACAUUUUGGGCAGGCUUUGCAACAAGCGCAUUAUGAGUUCUGAGAAAUAGCUCAUGAUAUUAUGGGGAUAGAAUUGUGGGCUAGGUUAUAGAUGUAGUUGUCUGUAUGAACUGCAAGGCAUGUGACAUAGCAAAAUAAUUUCUCAAACAUACCUUUGUCUCUUGUUCAAGUACAUUUUGUUCUAUCAUUCAUUGUUGAUUACUGGAUGUGUUAAAGAGUAAACGGGGGUGAGGACCUUAUUGACUGUCUACUUUGCAAUUGACUUGUAAUUCAUGGUGCCUUUGAACAUGUCUUUUAUCUUAUACUUUUGAAUAGAAAAGAAUUUGUAAAUAAUGUUACAUAAUCAAGUUGGAGAAACUUUUUUCUUAGCUUCAAAUAUUUUGCAGACAAUUUGUUUUUAAGCAUCAUGCUAUGAGUUGGAAGAAAAUGAUCUAUGCAACUGAUCCCAAUUAAUCAGAGAUUGAGAUUCAGUAUAAUAGAGUUGACAAUUACUCAUUCCUCACUAAGACACAACACACACAUGCAUGUAUGCUUAUAGACAUGUACAACUCACUUUUUGCAAGGGACCCUACCUAAUCCCUUCUUCAUAAUCUUCCAUUUAGAUAUACUAGAUGGAAAUUGAGUCUGUAAUCAUUUUUUGAGGAUCCUCGAAGUGUUUGUUUGGUAUUAUAGGAGCAAUCACAAUCUUUUCAUCCUAAUUGGAAAAGCAUCAAUAUGAAACUUUUCCAAUUUGAAUGGGAAAAAAAAAACCCAAGUUUUUUGUCAUUGCAACCACAAUGUCAUACACAAACAAAAUUGUUUCUGCUCAUCAUUUUUAUAACAGAAGAGUCGUCUUUAGAACCACUUCUGUGAAAAAAUUUCUCAUAUAAAGAGAUCAAAGAAAGAUCAGUUGAUGCAUUUUUCUUUUUAACCUAUUUUGGAGGCAUUAUUAUUUAGGAGUUGAAUUCAUAGAUUAUGCUAGGUGGGAUAUCUUAAAAUGGGUGAUGUAUUUGAGCAUUGGCUCGAUGUCAUUGGGCUGCUAGAUUUGAAUAAAAUAGCAAAAGGUUAUCAACAAGAUUCACAUCUUGUAGUUUAAUGGCUAUCGAUAUUGUGUCAAUGAUCAAAGUGUCGAGUUGUAGCAAACACCCAUUAUUAUGAUCUUCAACUUCUUGUACUGUGCUCUCCCCUUUUCUAGAUUAUUACACAGCCUGGCAUUAGAAAAAUGAUUGCGCAAAUUAAUUACCAUAACAUAGAAAAGUUUACAGUACAAGGGCUUAGAUUUUGUCUGUUGUAGCCACAUAUUGAAGAAACUCAAAUGAGGAUGUGUUUUACUGACAGUCACUUUGUCUUUAUCUAUUUGCUUAUUGAUCUAACAAGAUCUUUUGAAACUAUUGCAGGUAUCAGCUGGCAUCAUGUUUACUAAAGGUGUUUUAUCUUGUUUGAAAUACCUUGAGGCUGUUCCUUGGACGGAGGAAGAAGAAGACAAACUUAGGAAUCUAUUUACAGUGUUUAAAUUUGAUGAGACCACAACUCGAGAUAUUUUGGCUAGACUCCACUUGCUUAGUUCAGAAGAUUCUCAACAAAAUUUAGCUAGGCAGCUUGUUUGGUCUAUUACUACUUGUGCUGAUGCCAACGCAAGAAAUGAACUGAAGUCAUUAGUUAAGGGUCUCCUUUGCAAAAGUUCAGUGUACGAGAAGGACCGACAUGAUCUCACCAAGGAGGAUCUUUAUGAUGUUUGUCAUUCCUGUUUAGGUUCGUUAGUCAGCCUCAUGGAGGAAGCCUCUGAUAUCAUACCCCAAGGGACAGUGGUGAAAAAGGAAACAAGUAAGCCCUUGAUUGGACGCAUCUCCAGACAGGUUGAUAACAUCAUUUGGCUGCUGGAAAUCCUCCUUGAUCGUCAGAUUGGUGAGGAGUUUGUGGGAAGGUGGGCAGAUCAAGUGGACUUGCUAAAAAUGCAUGAGAGUACAUCUCCGAUGAUUAGAUACGAGCUCAGCCGGGUUUCUGCAAUUUUAUUUAUUGCAAUGGGAACAAGAAAAUUGCAUUGCCGCUCAGAAGCAAGAGCAGUGCUUCUCCAGGCAUGGUUUGGCCCAAUGCUACUGGACUUCGGUUGGCUACAGAGAUGUAAAAAAGGUUUGGACAUGAAAGCAUUAGAAGAAGCCAUGGGUCAGACACUCCUUACACUUCCUAUGAAGCAGCAGUAUAUGUUGUUCACAGAAUGGUUUGGGUAUUUCUCCAAGCAUGGUACUGAAUGUCCCAAUCUCAGCAAAGCCUUCCAGAUCUGGUGGCGUCGUUCAUUUCUCAGAGGGUCAGAAACUCAUGCAAUUGAAUCCAGGUAAUAGGUGUCUCUUGUCAUUGCCUACCCCUAUAACCUUUGUUGUCGUGUAUGCUGAGGGUUUCUGAAAAUUAGGAACUGAAUAAUGUAUAUCUUUAUGUAGAAUCGUUGUAGUAGUGGUUAGAGCAUUAAGUGACAAGAUAUUUUAUUUUUUUCGCGAAAUUUAUUUUUAGCCUCAUCCAGUAUAAAUUAUUUUGUGAAAAAUAUUUUCAUGAGGAAAACAUGAGUUAUUUGAAGGAAUAUAUUUUUCUAUAAUUUAUAUUAUUGUUUUGCAAAAUGAGAAAUUAUAAUAUUUAUGAUAAAAAUGGUGGUGGUAGUUAUGAUGGCAGCAUUCAAGAUUAUAAUGGUAUAGUAAUAGAUUCAAGACUAUAAUGAUGAUUGUUGUUUAGUGGCAAUGACAAUAAUGAAGAAAUGAAAAUCGCGAUCUUUUCUUCAUGUUUUGUUAACUGCUAAUUAUUACUCUUAGCUUCAGAGAUAUAUCCAUAUGCCUGUUAAAAUAAAAUAAAUAAAUAAAACGUGUAAGAAAAUUCAAGAUAUUAUGUUAUAAAAACAUUAAAACUUAAAAAUAUCCACCAAAAUUAUAAUGAAAUCCAAGAAUUAUCUUCUAGGACGUAAUGAUGAAGGCACCCUCUUCCCAUGCCUUGUAUUUUUGUUCUUCGCAUUGAAAGAUUAGCCCAUCUUAUCUUAAAAGCCGUUGAAAAGAGUUGACUGGGAACCUUUCAAGGUGGCUGGAAAUGGUCUCAAAAAGUGUUCCAUGGAGAACAGGGCUGGAGCUUAGUAGAUGUAUGGGUUUUCAAUGGACUCAUAACCUUGGGAAGAUACCUUGGAGUUCCUUUUCUCCCAGAGAAGGGUCACUAAAAGUACUCGUGGAUAGAGUGAACCGAAGAUUAGCCUCAAGAAGAACUAAACAAUUAUCGUGUGUGAAAUUUUAAAUGGAUAUCGUGGAUAGAGCUGGAUUCCCAGUUUUUCCGCUAAUCUCUGGCCUUUCGUACAAAAAACGGAAGAGAAAAAAAGAACAAUGAACUUGGUUCAUGGGAUUAUAAAUUAAAAAAUAAAAAAUUUAUUAAUAUUCAAGUAAAUUAAAUCAAUCGUCUUAUAAAUUUAUCUUUUUAUCCAAUAAACUCAAUCUGUAAAAGAUUUUUUCUCUCAAAAUCUUAAGGGGUUGACUUAAUAGUUAAAGAUAUAUAUUUUAUUUCUUGAUUUUUUAUAUUUAAAUCCUAAGACAAGUAUUUAAAGAUUAUCUAUAAUAGCCUUUAAUUGCUAUCUUAAAUUAAAAUAAAAAAAAAUGUUGUUUUAUCCCUUUCGUUUGUUUUGAAGGAAAAAAAUUACAUAGAAAUAGAUUUAUUUAAUAUUUUGAUAUUUAUUUCUUUAAAUAAAUAUGUUUUUACUCUCUCUCUCUCUCUCUAUAUAUAUAUAUAUAUAUAUAAGAAACAGACUAUAUCACUAUGAAAUAUACGUUGUUUUGGUUGGGGUAAAUCCAGUCAGUGUAAUAAUUUUAUAUUCUUCAGGAUAUUUCUUUUCGUUUCCCUUUCUGAAUUAUUUAAAAUCAACGACUCUAACCAACACUGCCACCCAGCCUUUUCAUUCACUCUACGAGUGUUGACACUCAAUUACUCUGACACUCAAUUACUCUCUCUUAGCUGCUAGCUGGCUUCUACUGUCACCUUCAUGUACUACUUUCUUUUGUACAUUUUGUAGUCUGUUUGGUUCCUGAGAAAAAAAAAGGAAUGAAAAAGAAAAAUGGCUUUCUUUUUAAUGCUUUCUUCUGUUUUAUGUAACAAUCUGAGGUUCAGUUUUGUCAAAGAUUGCCUGCAAUUCCUUGGCUAUGUCUUAUUGUCUGUGGAAAAACUGCUGCAUUCUCUUUUGAUUGUGGUUAAUGUACUAUGAUUGGCUUCAAAAAGGUUAAGAUGCUGAUUUUUUGUGUUUUUCUUUGUUGGGUUGUUUAGAUAAGCUAAUUUGCGCAAAAGGGUGUCGGUCAAGAUUCAUGCUUGUAGUGAAAAUUCAUGUCAUUUUGUGUAAUGAAGUGAGGUUGUAGUUUUCUGGGUUUAGGCCAAAAAUGAUACCAAGUAGGCCACAGGCUCCAAUUGGUGGUUCCUCUUUGUUUAACCUGUGCUUUUGAGAUCAAAUUCUGCUAUUUUGGGGUCUCAAGGAGGUGGUUCCAUGCAGCUAGGUCAGUAUAACAUGAAUUUGGUUAGGGACUUUCCAAGUAUGUCUUCUCUUAUCAAUCAGAGUUUUGGGAAUGGUGGCUCGAGCUCUGGACUUUCUGGUUUGGAGUCUAAUCCCAUUUCUAUGGUAGCAAAUGAUGUGGGUUUCAGCUCAUCAUCUGAUGGUUUUAAUACGGUGAGUUCUGGUUCAUCCGGGAAAGUUCAAAGCAAGCGAAUUGCCAACUCUUCUGGUAAUCACCAACCUCAAGUUCAACAAAUUCGAGCCACUCAUGUUAUCGCAUGGGCAGAAGCAAUUCCAUUCCAUUCGAGGUAGUUUAGGGGCGAUGGGACCUGUAAAAUUGGAGCCACAGGUAUUCAAUGAACAGAUUGGUCCCCAGCGUAGGUUGCAGUCCUUGCAGAGUCUGGGUUCAGUGAAACUAGAACCACUACAGAACCAGAUUGGAAGAGGCUCUGGACCUGUUAAAGUUGAAAAUCAACUUUCUGUUCAGUCGAAUUUACGACAGCAGCAGCUCCUCCACAUGUCCAGGCAGUCUACUCAGGCUCCUGCUGCACAGAUGAAUUACUUGCAGCAACAGCAGCAGCAACCUUUGAGGGCAUUUCCUCAUCAACAGCCCCAAAUGCAACAGUUUCAACAGCAAAAUCUGCCAGUUAGAUCUGUUGCAAGACCACUGUAUGAACCUGGAACAGGUGCUAAAAAAAAUACAUCCUUGCAUAGAGCUUCCUUAAAGUAAAAGCUAGUAUUUUUUACAAACACCAAACUGACAAAUAGAUUGCAAUGACACCUUGCUAGCUGCUGCUAGGUUCGUUGAGGAUUCCCAAGUAUUCUGCUAAAAGGGGGGGAAUAGCUUCAAAGGUUAUAUAUUGGUGAAAAUGGAUUAAUAUAUUACUUGACAACCUAUAUGUGACAAAACAAACUUCUCCUAUUUGUCCCAAACGCAUCAGAGUUUCCUAGAAUGCAGGCUAAAUUUGAAUCUUUUGAGUUUUGAUUCGUGGUUAUUUAAGUUUUUAUUUCACAUAAUAACAUCUUGUUUGUUUUCCAGAGAGUUUGGCUCAGUUCCCCCGCAGAACUAGGCCUUUUUCUGGGCUGCACAGUUCUGAUCAGCAACCACCCGAGAAAAAGCAGCAUACUAGACCUACAUCGAAUGAUGAUCUUCAUUCUGUACAGGCAAGUGUCAUGCAUCCUUCCACAAGCAAUGGUGUUGCAAGUGCAAACAAUUCCCUCGGCACAAGCUCCACCUCUUCCUCUGCCAUUACUGUUGCCAGGCUUUUUCAUCAGAAUUCCGUGAAUUCACGGAUUGAAAAUCAGAUGACUAGUCCAGGCAGUCCAUAUACUGGAACAUUUGUUCAGAUUCCAUCUGCUGUCUCUUCAACCACUCUGACACUAGCUCAGCUCAAUCCCUCCUCUCCCUUCUCUUGUUUAACACCAUCAUCAUCUAAUAAUCCUCAAAGUUCUCACAAUAUGUUAGCUGGAUCAACUGCAAUAAACCAUGUCAGUUCAGCACAUUCACCUUUUCAAACACCAAUGGAGCAGUCAUCUCAGUCAAAUGAGGUUGAUCCAAAUGAAUUUCAGAGCUCUGUUGAGAAAAUUAUACAAGAAACGAUGAUUUCUUCACAGUUCAGUGGGGCAGGUGGUAUGGUCAGUGUGGAUUAUGAAGGAAAUGAUAUGAAGGACAUAAAUAGGGUCACACGGCAACACAAAAUGAGUUCACCAGUGGCUCUUGCCUGGAGGGCAAUGUGAUGGGAAACACGAGGUCAGGUACUAUGGAUGGAGGAUUUGGGAGUUUGAAUGGUCAAACUCAUCUCUCUGCCUCUACUAGCAGAUUCACGCUGCCAUGGGGAAUGUCUCCAGCACUUUGUCUGGUAGGUUUGCCAUGCCAGUGAUGGAUCAUGAUGCUGGUAUGAAUCAUCAACAACAGGCACUGGCUUAUCAGUUGCGUCUUGGAGCAGUAAAUAGAUUUCUUGAUAACCAAUUUGAUUAGAAAUCUCCCUGAAGAGUAGUUAAUUUUACUGAUACUUUCAUGGUGAUAGUUCAGACCUAGUACGAUACCAUUCAGGUGGUGAUACAAGGGGCUUGAGACGUGGCCAUUUUAUCCUUUCUGCUGAAUCAUGAGAAAAAUUUGUUUCCUUUGAUUGGCAGCAGCUGCAUAUUGUACAAAUAUAGAACUUCUUCUGCCAAUAGGCAAUUUCAGCUGAUGGUGAUGGGGAGGCAAUAUUUUCUUAAUUAGCCAGAGAUGGAUUAGAAUUUUAUGUUUUCAGAAAGAAUCAAGGAAUAUUCUGCUUUGAUAAUGAGUUCCAUUUGUUCCAUGUCUUUCUCUAAGCUAAUGUAAAAUUCUGCAAUACCUUAUCACUGCUGCUUCGGGAUUUCUUCGCACCCGAAUCACUAGGAAUCCUCGUUACUUCAAGAUGUUGUUCUUAGUUACAUAUAAAUGGUUAAGGAUGGUUUUUGCAAUCGCCUUGGUUUUUUGGGUAAGCAAUGAUCGACCAAUUUUCAUGGAUGCAUUUUAGCUCAAGCUCAGAAAUGCGAGACACGCAGCAAUUGCGGUUCAGCAGAUACAUGUUUUUAUCAAACUAGACUAUCAUGAUAUAAAAACUUGAACAACAUUGACAUGACAAAUACAAGGCAAUGACAAUUGUAACUAAUGAUUUCUAAAUGAUGUUUGCUGCUGCUCUUUAUUCUCUUCAAGCUUCAACGUAUUUUUCAAUGGCAGCAGCCAAGGUAGCCUUUGGAACUGCACCUAUAACACCUUCCUUCUUCUCUCCAUUCUUGAACAUUAGCACUGUGGGAAUGCUUCUAAUCGCAUAUUGUGAUGCAAUGUUGGGCAAUCAUCAGUGUUCACUUUGUAACAAGCAAUCUUUCUGCGUAUUCUGCUGCCAAUUCAUCAAUCCGUGUUAUCAUCCGGCAUGGUCCGCACCAUGGUGCAAAUCAACUAGAACUGGGAUUUCACAGCAAUAACCAGGCUAUCCCAGCUUGAAUCUGUCACCACUUGCACUGCCAUAAAAAAAUUUAAUCCCAAGAACAUUCAGUGCACAAGCGCAAGCAAAAAUGAACAAUAGUUGCUUUCUUUUUUCUUUUUUUUUUUUUAAAAAAGCUAUUGAGAGGGAGGGAGAGGGGCUUACCUACACCGACAGCUUCUUGAGCUUUGCAUACAAUGGUGGAUUUAUGAUUUUUGACUGAAGCAUAUGAAGAAGAGAAAGAAGAUGGAAAUGACAAAGAAGAAGACCUCCUUAACCCCCUGCCUGUGGGCAAUUUCAACUUUUCUUUUGAGCAAGCUACAUGGUUUGAACAUAAUACUCCAGCCCUAGUAGUAGACAUGGUGCUCAUAUUCAUGCUUGCGUGAAGAGCCAUGAACUUUAUGCUGCCUUUUCCCCUCUGUUUGCUAGGUUUUAUAUCCUUUGUUUACUUAGAAAAUGAAUCCUAGAUAUCCAGAUAUUAAGGGAAAAAAGGGUACUCAAAACAGAUAAAAGAAAGCAUGUGAUCUUUCUUUUUUUCAACUUGUUGGAUUUUUAAGUGGAUAUUGUAAGAGAAAUGUAAGGUUGAGGUGACUCCACUCUCGUGGAUGAGAUUUGUCCUCAUAUAUCUCAUCACAUGAAACUACUUUGCUCUGGAAAAUAACAUUUGGAUUUUUGUAUCUCUAUUUUAAACAAUGUGCAGAGCAAAGUUGUUUUUUUUUCUUUUUCUUUGAUAUAUAUUUACUUUUCCGUCAAAAAAAAAAAAAAUCUUGACAACAAAUGCCACUACCAAUCUACUAUGGAGUUGUUAAUGGGCUGAGCUCCACUUGAUUUUGUCAAAAUCUAAGUGGGCUUGAAUCAAAAUCCAGUAAAACUAUUUUAAGGGUUUAAGAUGAGGCCAACCUCAAACUGGGAUGCUUUAUAGCCUUAGACUAUUUGGUUCUAGUCAGUUCAUUCAUAUCCAUCUAUAUAAUGGCCAAGAGUGAUAAUUUACGUGAUAUUGAGAUCGUGAAAAAAACCUUAGAUUUCAAUGAACUUUUCAUGAUUAUCUUAUGAAUAUCUGGGUUUUUCUUGAAAGAUAAAUUCUUUAUGGAUACAUGAGAUGCUCUGAUAUUCAAGUUAAUACAUAAAAGAUAAAUAUAAUAUAGGGAAAAUAAAAUAAAAUAAAGCGAUAGAUAAUGAGAAGAAAAUUCUUGUGCGAGACUGAUUUUGUCUUUUAAGUUUGUGCAUGGAGUCCAAGACUUAUCUAUUCUUACAUGUGACCGUGGUAUUUAUACAUCUAGUGGUUCUUGAACUUAGUUCAUGGAGGAGAAAAAUAUUUUUUUAAAAAUUGAGUCAUGGGAUGUCUUGUUGUACUUUUAUUGAUGGAGACAUUAAUGAUAAUAUUUUUCUAGAAAGUUGAGAGUUGCUAUGUUAUGUUUUUCAUUUGUGAAGAUGUUAGUAGUUAUAAUACCAAGAAAUAACGACUGUCUAGAAAGGCAUUAUUGGUGAUGAUGUUGACAUUUAUAGUACCAAGAAAUAACCAUUGUCUAGAAAAACAGUGCUUGUAUUACAUAGAAAAAUCGUGCAAACAUGGAAAGUUUAUAUGUGAUUCUUGAAAACUUAAAAUGUAUAGAGGUGUGUGUAUGACAUUGCUUGGUAAGGAAGAAAAGAAAUUAAAAGAGGAAAGAGAAAGGAAGAAAAACCCAUUCGUUUGGUUGAUCUAUACUAUUAAAGGAGCAACUUGGCUAGCGUGUGGAAAAGGUUGGUCAUCUUAGCCAUUGGUACUAGAGGUAUUAUCAUCAGAGCUUGCAUAUGACCUCGACAUCAUAUUCUUUGUUUGUUUGUUUGUUUUUUCCUUCUUCUCCAUCUUUAUUUGUCUUUUGUGCAAACCCAUUUAUUCUUUACUCUUUUUUAGCCAUUGGAUCUCUUUAUUUGGUUUUGUGGCUAUUGAAUCCUCAUAAAACUUGUGAGUUGACUUUUGCUUAUCACAACUCAUGAGAGGAUAAUUCUUAUGGAACGCAUAAGAGACAUGCACAGGAGAAAAAAAAAGUGUGGACAUGGCUAGGUCUUUAAGCCAUUUAGACCCAAUCCAAAUUGCUAAUUUUUAUAUUGUACCAUUGCUCGAGGAAUUAUUAGAUGAUCUCAAUACUAUACAAUUCAUUUAAUUAUAUGAUUACAUAAUAUCUAACCAAAUUGUAUUUUUGUUAGUUGAUUUGUCAAUACCGAUGAAUUCUACAGUGCUCAAGUUAUAACUACCAAUACUUAUAACAUAUAAAAGAGAUAAACACAAGAAAGAGAGAGUCAUAUUCUAAUUUGCCAAAAGUGAUAAGAAUAUCUUUUCUUUUUAAAAUUUGAAUAUAUAAGAGGAGGAAUUAGAAAAAUAACUUUUGAAAAAGAGAGACAUUCUUAUCAUUAUUUGUUAGCUUGUACAUGAUUUUUUCUCUUUCUUUUGUGCAUAUCUCUUAUAUGCUCUAAGCAUUAGUAGUUACAACAUAAGAAUCAUACAAUCUUUGUAUCAAUGCCAUUACUAUCACCUUCUUUUUUGUUUUCAAAUGGAAGUUUCACUCUAUAUUUUAAAAAUAUCUCAUAUCUAAAUUUUGAAAAAAAGAUAAGGAGAUUAAAAAAUUAUGCUAUAUUAUUUAACCAACAGUCCUAUAGGAUGCUGGAAAAUCCAAGGUUAUGACGUGGCUUGUGAACUUCAUGAAUGAAGAUACAAACUAUGUGUGUGUGUUAUUCAAUGACAAUUGAACUUUAGGAUAAUGUUAACAAAAAGUAUUUUGAUCUAGGUAAUUAAUCCUAAAUUUACGACUUGACUUUGAAAGAUGGUGAGAUUCGACAAAGAGAAAACAAUGUCACCAAAUACUUUGACACACUAAAAUGAUUGCAAGACAUUGAUAUGUUUAAUGAUUACAAAUUAAUGAAAAUCUAUAUAGAAAUGCAACUGUUACAAGAAAUAGAGUAGGACUUUUAGAUUUACAAAUUCCUGACUAGACUUAAUGUUGAGUUUGAUAAAGUAAAAGGAAAACAAUGGGUAGAGAACUCCUAUCUCUAAUUGAAGAGGCAUUUCAGAAGUUAAAAGAGAGGAAAGUAGCAUAGAGGUAAUGCUUAGAAAAGCAACAAGCUUAGUGACAAACACAAACAUGUGGUUUCUGUAGCAAAUAAAAAAGCUUUUUUAGUAGAGUAUAUGAUAAAAAGCUUUUUUAGUAAAGAGUAUAUGGAACAAAUUCUAAAACUUAUAAAGUUCAAUUCAUUAUCUAUUAUUCCUAGUGUUUUACUGGCUCAAAUAAGUAGUCAUCCUCGUGCUUUAUCUUGUUGUUCAAAUUUUGCUUUUUGAAUCAUUGAUUCAGGUGUAACCGAUUAUAUGACUAAUCAUUCACAUCCAUUUACAAAUUAUUUAUCAUGUCCUAGUAAUGAGAAAAUAAAAAAAUAUAGAUGGUAGUUUCUUACCUAUUGGAGGGAAAUGGUUAAUAACAAUUUUUGAAAGUAUAAAUUUUAAAUUUUUUCUCCAUAUUCUUAAACUUAUUUGCAAUAUUAUGUAUAUAAGUAAAUUAACCAAAAAUUGUAAUUGUCUUGUUAUUUUUUAUAAUUUCAUCUAUAUGUUUUAGGAUCAGAGUUUGGGAAAGAUGAUUUGCUAGGAUAAGAUCUUUAUUACCUCGAUGACAACUUCUUCGAUAAUAAAAUACCUUGAAGCUUUAUUAAUAUAAGUUCAAUGUAUAUUUAUGAACAAAUAAUGCUUUGGAAUCUUAAACUAAGAUAUCAUCAUAAUUUUCUCUAUCUUAAAUAUUUAUUAAGUGAGUUGUUUAAAAAAUUAAAUUGUUUAUCUUUUCAUCAUGAAAGUUGUCAUUUAUCAAAAAGUUAUUGUACAACAUUUCCUUCAAAACCCUAUUGUGUUGUGGUUUAAAACUAUUUUAUUUUAUUUAUAAUGAUUUGUGAGUCUCUUCAAAAAUCACUACUUAUCCAAUUUUUUUUUUUUCACAUUGAUAGAUGAUCAUAUAUGAUUAUGUUGGAUUUAUUUGACAAGGGAAAAAACUGAGGUAGUAACAUUAUUUAAAUAUUUUUAUCAAAUAAUAGAUAGAAAACCAAUAUUAGACAAGGAUUAUCAUACUUUAUUAUGAUAAUGGAACAUAAUACUUUAACAAGUAUUUGUGAAAUUUUUUUGAAAAAAAAAGGGGUUCAACAUUGGUUUAUAUAUUGUAACACUCCUUAACAAAAUAGAAUUACUAAGAGAAAAAAAACAAAUAUUUACUCGAAGAGGCUCAUGCCAUUGCAUUUUCUAUGAACAUUCCAAAACAUUUACAAGCUGAAGUUGUUUUGACAACAUCCUAUUUGAUUAACAUGAUGCAUGCUUGAGUUUUGCAAUUUCAAACACCAUUAGAUUGCCUAAAAAAAAAUCUUUUCUUGAUAAAUACAAUCUAUUUUGCAAAUAAAAUUUUUGGAUGCAGUCUUUGUUUACAUACCAAACAAACUCCAAUAUAAAUUUGAUCUUAAAACUAAUAAUGUGUUUUCAUCGAAUAUGUCCUAAACAAAACAGAACACAAAUAUUACAAUCCUCAAACUAGAAAAAUUUAUGCAAGUAUGAAUAUUUAUUUUAUAAAAAAACAACUUUACUUUAUCAAAAAUAAUCUUGAGGAGGCAUAUGCCUCUAACAAAAAAGGAUAAAAAUAUUAUUAUCCUUAAAUCAGGAAAAUUCAUACAAGUGAAUAUUUUUUUUUAUAAAAAAUCAACCUUACCUUACCAAAACUCAUUUUGGAUAUUUAUUUUGAAUCAAAUUAUAUUUUCACCAGUAAUCCAAAUUAAUUUUGAACCCUUCAAAUCGAUCAAGUCACAUCAAAUUAAUCCCUACAUAGUUUAAAUUUGUAUUUUCUACUGCAAAAAAACAUUAGUAUUUCCUACACAAUUUUUUAUAUAUUUACAAAUCUAGUCACUUAUAGUUUGAUAAAAGAAAUAUUAAAAUCCUACAAACCAUUUAGUUAUGGAAGCAUACCUCCAGAAAAAUAAAGCAGUUCAAACUUCAAAUAGUCUCUAGCCUGAUGGACAGCCAAGACUGAUUAGUAAAAAGAGAAGCUUACCUUGUACUUGUAGAGAGUAUCCGAGGACCUUAUAAUUGCUACGUUUCCAUGUUUAUAAAUAACAGAUAAAAUAAAUAAAUGAAUGCCCAUGAUCAACAAUUCAAUUAAUUGAAUAUUAUUCUCCUCAGGAAUCCAUACAAUCAACGGUGAAUACAUAGACAGGAAAACACGAUGACAACAUGAUGUUGACAUUUGUGCCUACAGGACACCGACAGUAUUCGUUUAAAAGAAAAAUAUCAGGGUGAAGUGUGUUAUGAACUUGAAGUCCUAGCAGUUCAUACAUUCUCAGUGUCAGCUAUUUUUUUUUUUUAUAUAUAUUUCUCAAUCGCUAUACGAUCACAACCCCGUAUACGCAAACCUCAUUUGUUUUUCUUUCCGCCAGCCAAGAUACGUUGAAUCUGAAGCCCUCGGCUGAAAGCUUGGUUAAACAGCAGCCUGGUCUGGAAUUCUGAAACGAAUGGGAACCAGGCAAGUACAGCCACUGGUGCAAAGAUGACCAAAGCCAUCAUGUACUCGUACCCACGGGCUAGAGCUUUCACAGAUCCCCACAUUUUAAGGCCCUUCACUACUGGCCUGCAAGCUUGUGCUAUCUGAAAACGAAAUCAGCUUAAUUUGUAAAGAUCGAUAUUUAACUAGGAAAACUCAUGAUCACCAUGCAUUGUGUUAUGUAAACACAGAAGAGAAAUAUAAAAUGAGGGAACGAGGCUCCUUUUUCCAGUACGUUACAUUAAAUUCCAUAAGAAGGUGUUUGAUAUAACCAGUGGAGGGUGAUAUGCUUGCGAGAUAGAGGAAAUGAUUUUGCAUGAUUGUCAUGUACAUACCUGCAGAAUUGCCAAACCAGUUGGCAGAAAAGCUAGCAGGCUCUGAAAGAUGUCUCCAACUGUGAGGUGAAGGGUAGUGAACAGGAUAACGAGAGUGAUCACAGAUCCAAUAAAGAGAAACAGCUUAAGAAGUCUAAACAUGAGCUGAAAAUCUGCACUGAACUUCUUUCUUCCCAUGGAAACAAUCUGCGGUUCAAAGGCACUAGAGUUGGUGAAUUGCAUUCCACAUGACAAGUUCAUUUUCAAAAGAUUUAAGAAUUUAGAGUUUGAACAAUAACCUUUAAGAUGAUUAUCAUAGCGACAAUGACCAGCCACGACAGACCAUAUACCUGAAAUCAGAAAACAAAUUUACAGACAUGAACAUGAAAGAUUUCGAAGUUCCUUUAUCAAAUUAGACUAAGGUUUGUGCUACGUUUUAGAGUAGAAGAAUAUUAAAUUUCAUGUACUCACAAUAGCACUCCGGCUUCUUCCAGGCGUGCUUUCCUUGACUGCUUUUAGCUGGUAUACAAUUCCAUAUUGAUAGAUGAAGAAACGCAAAGAGAGAAAUAUCUCCCAGAACCGGCCUAAAAAUCCAGUGUGUUGCAGGUGCUCCUGUUCCUCAUCCCACCAAGACUCCCAGCUCUUGUUUGCUGGGACACCAAUACCACCUGGCUGCUUAUCCACUUCGACCAAUCAUCCCAAUCAUCCACAAUCUUCUGCCACUCAAAUCCAGAUGGAUUGAAAAGGAACGGAGCAAACAAAAAAGAAGUCACUAAGAACCACAUUGAGGCCGUGACAAGUGCAAAGCCUACUCCACUUGCUGCUUUUCCAUAUACCUGAUAACAUAUAAGCAAUAUUAAAAGCUCCAGUCCUUUCACAAAGUGACUCCUCGAGUACAUCCUAUAGUUCUCAGCAAAUUUCUGAUGCCGAACCACAAAACCACGCCCAGUAGCUCUGUAUUUUGCUCCACCAUGCAGGAUAGUGCGCCCAAAAUAAUGGACCUUAGUCCCAAGGGAAAAGGUGAAGAAGACAGAAGCAAGCUGAAGCUGCAUGAUUAUUAUGUCACCUAUUGCUGUUCUGAACCCUUUCUCUAGCCCCAUCUCCAUGACCAUGGGCAACGCCAUCAGAAAACCAAUCUGAACAAGAGACUGUGAGGCCAUGGCUGCUUUUAGGGGAUCAUUUCCCCUAGCCCGUGCGUACUUAAUUAUUGAAUCCUCCAAUCCACUUAAUGACAGAUAAAGUUUACAAUACAAGAAAGCAUAUACCGUAAGGACAACUAUCUGCAUAUUAAAAAGAAAAAAAUUAUCUGUUAGCUGAACUUCCCAAAUGUGGAAACAUCCUAACAUCCCAGCCACAAAUGCACACAGGAAUAGUAUUCAACUCAAUAAUUGCAUAAUCUGUGCAGGGCACAGCAUAUCAGAAAGAGUUUUCUGCACAAUAAAGAUGCAAAUAACAGAUCACAUUUAAAAGGAGACACUACAUUGGGUAUGGUUUGAAAAUCAAAUGAACAAGAUAUUUAAGUUGUUUAAGAAAAAGGGUUUGCAAGCAAAGCAGUUCUUUCAUAAAGAUGCAUAGAUGACUCUGGAAAUGAAACUGACUUUCAUACUGAAAGCCUCUUCAAAAAUCUUAUCUUCUCAUUAAACACAAAAGGAAGCAGCCAUUUACUUGAGAGAAAAACCAAAAGGACAUGAGAGAUUCCAGACAGUUUAAUGUAGCAGUUUGACAACUAAGAAAAAAAAAAUAUAUAAAAAAACUACAUGAUUAUUUUUACAAAAUAUAAAUCAUUGGAUCAUAAAAGAGAGAAAAAAAUAUUUAGGUGAUCCACAAGAAAUAAUACCCCUUUUCUUUCCAAUUGAAGUUAUGAAAUCCAUAUGACAUUUAUUAGAAGAAUUGCUCUUCAAUUCUUUGUCAUUUAGCUCCUUGCUAUUUGGACUUUGAACCAAACUGAGCACUGCAAAAAAUGCAUCUUAUAAACAAUGCACUGACACGCACAUGAAAACAAACAAAUGCAUACAUAAGCAGACCAACACAUUUAUUCCCUAAUGAAAUAUCAUGGCCAAAUAUUUCAAUCUGUAAGCUGUUCUUUUUCCCAUAAUGUACGUAAUUUUCUAGGUAUAUUAUGGCCUUGAUAGCAACUAUUUUGGUUGCCUUUUUCAUGCUUAGGUUGAGUUCUCUGGAAAACAACAAGGUAACUAUUAGAUUUGUCAAUUAGCCUUGUCCACACUGCUUGUCCAAUUGCUUUUCAACAUGAAUUACACAUUAAAAAAGAAUUACCAUUGAACUGACGUAAAAUCCGAUCGUUGUAUAAUAACAGGACAGCAUGCGGAAGAAAUCAAAACGAUGACCUAGUCGAUAGAUGUCCCUGCUGAGUGUCUGCUCCCCAUUACCACAUGCUACCUUUGCUUCAAACAGAGAGAUUUGGUUGAGCCCGACAUCUCGACCUUUCCCAACUUGAAUAUACUCAUGAUGAGUGACAUUCCCUCGUCUCAGUGUUGAGUUGAAACCUACAUUGUAGAACAAGCAUAGAGAAGCUGAUGAAAUUGUGUUACCGGAGAUAAAAUAAAUUCCCAAACAUUUUGUUGGUUACUCUUCAACUACUUUUCUAGGUGACGAGAACAGGUUCCUUGAGAAUAGUACCAGCAAAUAUGUCCUCACUCAAAUUGAUGCCAUGAGAAGCCUUGCUGAUGCCACCACGUGUUACGUGAAAGAUUCUAUCAAACACAUCUGGAUGCCCAUAAUGGAACCGGACCCUAUAAAUACCAAUACAAAUUUCAAGAUAAAAUGUCAACAUUAAUAAGAUCAACAAAAAAGGCCACCUGAAUGGUUUUAUUUAACAAAAGCAAAGACAUUUUAUGUUCUUCACGCUAACUAAAGUGGAUGACCUAAUAUUUGGCAUGGCCCACUUUACAAGAAGCAAAUGAACAUAUAUGCAUAGGGGACCACAUGGACACACAUGCGUGCAAGAGAGGAGUGGAUUAUCGUAUCUAUGCAUAGUGAUUCUCAAAGCUCUAUUUUUUUUAGCACUGGUACAUAUUAAAAAUAUAUUUCUGUUAAGAUCAGCAAAAUCACCUUUUUUUUUUUUAAAGGAGUGGUACUAUUUAUUCCUUAAAAACCUUUAUCUCAAUAAUGUAUCUUAAAAAACGGCUGGUAUUUUGCAUACCAUAAGUUGUACUACACUGUUAUCUAAACAUAGAAAGGAAGAAAAAGAGAAGGUUUACUUCAAUGGUCUUGCUAGAACCCUUUGACCAAUGGUGACAAAACUCGUUUCUUGGUUUGACAUGAACCAAGCCAAAGAAGAGACACUGCAGCAUAGAUGUAAAAACACAUGAGAACAAUGACAAGGCAUGAUAUUUGAUGGUAAUAGAGCAUCAGAGAACUAGAAAAGAUAAACAUCCAUCAGACCUUCCAGUAAAGAUAUGCUCCCGAACACCUAAAAUUGUAGGUGGAAGCACUCCAUGAUCCUCAUUAAAUUCUUCAAGAAGGUUACGCAUUUUAAGUGCUUCUUCCAAGUAAUUAUCCUAUAAGAAAUUGAUAUGAAAAAUCAUCAGAAUAGGUAUAAAAAUCAUAAUGAAGCAACAAUACAUUCAGUUUUUCCAUGUUUUACCUGAUUCAUGUCAAUGGCUUGCAAAGCUUCCCCUCGAGUAAAUAUAAUGGCAUGAUUCUGAUUCUCAGGCUUUCCUUCUCCUAAUUUAGCUGCACCUGGCAAUCUUAUGCGAUAUAUUUCCUUUUGGAGAAGAUAGAAAACAAUUAGCUUUAUGGAAAAAGUUGCUCAAAUGUAAUUAAAUGGGAAUGUCAUAAAAAUUACCUGAUCAAGAUUAUCAACAGCUUUUACCAAUACAGAAUAAUAAACCUUCUGUACCUUGCCACCUUCUCUUUCUCUUUCUUCAACUUCGUCAAUAAAUGCAACACGGAGAGAGGGAUUACUGUAGAAGAUGUAGCAGGUUCAAAGUCUUGAACAAAAUAUGCUCAGCAAACUGCUUAUGAUAUUCAACAGUGAGAUGCUAUAAUUAGACAGAGAGCAUACUUGACCAUUAAAUUGAGAAUGUCUGUUGCACGACGAUCUCCACUCCUCUUCUGAUUUCCAUAGUUCUGACAGGUAGCAACAUAAGUGAAUUUCAUGUCCGCUACUGCCUCUAUUUGAGCACUCACAGAUCUUUGACUUUUCUUAUCUUCCUCAGUUGGAUCUGUGAUGGCUUUGUAACCUUCUAGUAUCUCUGCAUUUAUGAGAUUAUGUCAUACAUUGGCAUAUUACUCCAAAAUGACACUGCUUCACUGGGCACUCAUCAUUUCUACUGAAAGAAUUGACAGGUAUAUUGAAAACAAAACCAUGAGAAAAUGGUAUACAUCCCCAGGAAAAGUACAACUAAGGUCAGAGGCAUUGAGCUCAAUUUUAGCAGUAAAUGAAUUAGAUUCAAUGAAUUACUACUUUAUAACAUCAAUUGGAUUUGUGUUCUCGCAAAUAUAUGCUACUACAUGGCAAGGAAAACGAAUGAAAGACGCCUGACGAAAGUCUGAGGCAUUGACAGUGAAUUAAUUAAACAGCAAAGGAGUAAGGAAAUUAUUUUAUUCUUGAGAACUAAACUAGAGUAGCUCCCAGCGCAUUCUUUCAUGAAGAGCAUAAUUUUCUCUUCAAGACUGAAAAUGAAAUUUGAACUUUAGGUUUUUUCAAAAAUCAUUUUUUGUUCUUUCUCCAUCAGAUUACUUAUCAUAUUCCAAGUUUUGGAAAAAAAAAUGUUGUUAAUGCCAUUUAUUUAAGCCAUCAUUCCUUCUUGAAAUUUAUGACUACGUGAUUUCAUCAUUUUUAAUCCUAUAAAAAAAGGUCAGAUAUGACUGACAGAAGAAAGCUUAUAUCAAAGAGUAAGAAAUCAUAUCUUUUUUAGAAGAUUAUGAUGCUGCAAGAAUGGAACAUGGAUUCCACAUGUUUGUUAUUUUCAUAUUUCUAGAACUCAUUAUUUAAUUUGCUCAGGAGGGCUACUUUCAGGAAAUAAAGACCAUAUGCAAUUCCACAUUUGAAAGUCAUUUUCAAACAAAAUGAAGAAAAGCAUUCAGGCUCUCACCACUUUCUUUAGCCAUAUCAAGAAAAGCUUGAAGUCUUAAAGCUCGUCUGUAGUACAUCAUCCCUCUAACUGCAACAUUUAUGAUCAUUUGUAUAUAUAUAAAAGAAAGAUUAAUGCAUUUAGAUGAGAAAAUGUAAAGGGAUCAACUACCUGUGCGACAGAGAGUUUGACCUCUCAAAGAGCCCCAAUGGCGAAGUUGCAAAAUAUUUUCUUCAUUUUCCAAAACCUCACUCUCUUUUUUGCAAUUUAUUCUUUCCAUGAAGUUAUUCCAUUCAUCUGAUGACAAUGCAAAUAGCUACUGAAUUAAUUACAUCAUUGAUUCAUUCACUCAAAACAAAUGCAAAUCAUACAUGCUAUGGUACUAUGAGAGUUCACAAAACAACCAUACCUGGGUAAAUCUUUUGCAAGUAGUAGAUGAUUGAUACACCAUCUUCAUUCUCCAUUUCAAGAUCAGAUUUGGAAUAAACUGUCUCUUCACUAUAAUACGGGGUUAAGACACUGUGCAUAACAGAAGAGUAGUCUUAUUACAUAAAAGUUGAUGUUGUUAAAAAUCCCUUAAUUUCCUCAAAGAAACUCAUCAAAUUUCUCAAGACCUUGAAAAACUAUGUAAUUUAUCCAGGACAACUCUGUCUAGAAUCCACAACUGUACUUUCACAAAAACUAUAAUAAAUCAGACACUGGCUUUGGGAGAGUAAAGAGUCUCAAUAGAAGCAUGUAGGAUGAUAUUUGAACAAGCAGUAUUAUCACAAAGAAUUUGAGAAAAGGCACUGCCUUUCUUCUAGCUGACUGUUAGCUAGAAGUACACUCAACUUGAUCAUAUGUUCUGAACAUAUGUUGUACAAGUCCGGUCAGGUGUAACCCAAUGUGGCUACCAAUGACUAGUAUUUGAUCAAAUUCUAGCCACUUGUCCAUUGAAUGACAUGACGGUGGCAGACAAUCAUUAAACCAACUGUAAGUUAACAAUAAAUUGAAUUCAGCUGAAUUCAACAAAAUGUGAAGGCAGUUCUUUGCAACUUGGCAAAGUCACUGCAAUAUUCACUUUGCUAUCAUUUUUUAUUAAAAAUGAAUCAGACCUGAAUGAGAGCAUUUUACGGACUCGAGGAGGACGUGGCAUGUCCAUAAACAACGAAUUCGUAAAGAAUGAAAUCCUCCUACGUGCUUCAAGGUUUGUUGGGACAUCAUUGGCAAAUUCGUUCACCGUCAAAAGGAGAUGAAUGCGUCUUAUCUAAGAGAUCAUUAAUCAAAGCUUUCAUCAAUCCUUACACAAACUAGAAGGGUUAGUACUUCAAAUAAUCAUUGAAGCUCAGCAAGUGCUAGGGUACCUGUUCUUCCCAUUGUGUUGUAACUACAGGAGGGAACAUUAUAGCAGGUUUUGUGUCAGUACCAGAAAACACUUGUCUUCCAGAAUCCUUGCCACUUUGCCCGAGGUCUACCAAUUCACUGAAAAUCAUCACACAAGGACAGGCUGGACUGUUAGCACUCAUAUGAAGGACAUGAGCGUGCCACUAAAUCCAAGUAGAAGAUGCAAGGUUCACCAACCGAUUCUCAUUCACCAUCAUAUCAUUAGUAAAUACUUCUAACAUGUCCUGCAGUAUCAACACCACGGUAUUUUGCUGGGAGGGAUCAGCAUCUUUCUGCAAGGUGGAAGGAAAAAGGAAGCGGUCACUUUCCAAUGCACGGCUGCAAAGAGAAUUUCAGAUUUACAAAAGCAAGCUGAAUAAACCAUUAGCCGAGUUUCAUAAAUGACUCACCAAUAAUCUCACGAGCUCCACAAAUUUUUUACAUAAUGCUGGUAAGGGACCCAUUUUGAAAUUUGUAAGAAGUGUGUUCUUUGAAAUAUUACUCUCAACUUCUUUAAAGAUGAUGCUAAGUAUCCUGUUACAUUAGAACCACAGUUACACAUGACACUGAACCAUCAUCCCAAUUUCAUUCAAAUGCCAGAUAAAACUCUGCAGCAGAUAGAUUAACAGCCAAAACGAUUGACUUUGUUAAACGCAUAUAGAUAUUAGUAGAGCACUAAAUACUGGACUGGAGCUCAAAAUGUUAUAGAAGGAAUGAAAAUGCUGAAGCAGAAAUACUAUAACAUAGAUUGGACUCUUGCAAACUUAAGCUUUAAUUGGGAAUAAUGAAAUUAUCAGCUAAGAACCUGGUCUCCAAAGGAGGUGUAUCUGCAACAUUUAAAAGAUUUAAAUCCACAGGACAAGUCAUCUUUCUAUGGUAAGUUUCUUUCUGAUCUUUUCUUUUUCUUUUCUUUCUUUUUUUUUUUUUUUUUUUUUGGGGGGGGGGUCUGAUUAGUUGUUUAAAGAGAGGAUGGAUAAAAUGGAUAUGGAUUAUCAGGGGUAAGGAAAAGAACACCGUAAACAACCUUUUCUCAAUUUCUCCAACUACCAAAAUAUUCAUGACAUGUUUAAGGGAUUCGUAGCAUUCAAUGACUGCACAUUUCAUGUAUUCAUCUGCACAUAUGCGUUUCCAGAGGUCCGCAUCCCUUGAUCGGAAUUGCACUGCCAUAUCCAAAGCUAUUGGGAUCUGUAAAUGUAGCAAAUAUUCAACAGUUAAAAACAAGUUCCAUUCACUCAAUCUGCAGAAAGAAAAUACAUGCUGACCUUGCUUGCAAGCAUAAUCGGUGGCCACUGAAUUAAUUUGAGGCUAGGAUCUGAUGUAUAUGGAACCAGCAACAGAUCCAUCUCCCUGAAUUAAAAGAAACCAAAGAUUUAGUCUCAACAGGGGAAGGAACAGAUAGAAAUAAAGUUUUAUCGAGCCUAUGAGGCCUUUCCUGUCACUAAUGAGAUCUUCUUCACGGAAACUACAUAUCACUUCAUUCCAUAACUGAGCAAAUUUGGCAGCUUCACUUCUCUUGCUUGCAGUAACCUAACAGGAAUAACAUUGUAAUAACUGAGUGAGAUGCAUGAAACUGAAAAACAAUGAUAAUGAUAUGGAGAAUUUGAAACAUCAAUCCAACCUCAGAAAAUCUCUUUGAAAAAGAGAAGCCCUUCUUCCGUUUCUUAUCUGAAGGAACCAAAUAAGUGUUAAAUGCACCAGGUAAGGACUGGAACCGUGACCUCAGCAUGCCCAGAGUUCGAAUCUGUUAGAAGAGAAGGAGGAAAUUAAUAGGCCACAGUUUUUAGCCUUAAGUUACAAAAAAUCCUGCAACCUAAGCUCACUGACAUAACUCACCCAAAGAUUUAGUGACAUUUGAAAAAUCACUAAAAGGAGAGUGAAAGUUAAAUGAGAGUUAUAUUCUCAAAAGGUGUUUGAUAUCUUACAUAAAUUACAAGAAAAGGAGAGUGAUAGAAAAUAUUGGUGAACUUCAAAAAAUCAAGUAAACAAUGUGGAACACAGAAAUAGCCAUUGGAGGUAAAAUGGUAUUCACUGAAAAGGACGGCUAUUGCACAUCUCCAAAGUAUGCACUAAGUUCCAUCUCUCAUUAGAGCAGGAAAUACAAUGUCCCAGCCAAGUUUACAUAAAACAGGCCAAUUAUCUCACUAGAAUAUGUAACAUGGAAGCAAGAAACGCAUCCAAAUGCCUCAUUUCAAAUGUAUAUGAAGGUUUGUGACUGUAUAUGGUUUAUGUAAACGCAUCCAAAUGCUUCAUUUCAAAUGAACACAGAAAAUGACCAUCCAAAGCAAGAAACACAAAAAUAAUUGAGAUAAUUACCUCUCCUAGACGAUCAAAGGCCCCGGCAAAGCCACCAUAUAUGGUUGAGAAAAUAGAAUACCAAAUUUGAGUAUCCAUAAAAUAGACCUGGAUUAUAUUGAAACAUGUCCGGAGACAUCAAUCAUAGAAUAAAUAUAAAUUUCACCAAAUAAAAGAUAUGAAAAAAGAAAAAUAGGAAAGAGAUAGCAGCAGACAAACCAAAAUUACUGGUAACCAGAGUGACAAAACAGCUCCAUAAUUGUUUUUAGCUGUAUAAACAGGGUAAGCUUAUGUGGAAUAUAAAACCUCAGUUGAAAAGCACAAUAAAAAUGAAGUGAAAGAGUGAUGCACACCAUUUGGAAAAAAUUCAUGCCACUCAUAAUCUACAUUCCGAAUGUUCAUUAUAUCUUUCGUUGGCUUCACCAGAGGUUUUAUCUGGGCAAAGGACAUGUAAAAGGGUUAAAGGAAUACCAAAUGAAUGACCAUAAUAACAAUGACGGUGAUUAUGCUGAUAACAAAAGCCAACUAAAAAUAGCCAACCUGGACAAAAUAGCUGAAUGCUAUCUUUGAACAUAAAAGUAACAACCAAAAAACAGUAUACCUGAAACAAAAAGAAAAACCUAGUAACAAAGUGAACUUGAACCAAAUAUGUUGGUGACUGCAUAAAUAUAAACUCUCAUCAGACUCACUUUAUGAGUACAAAUUGACUCUCAUGCAUUCCCCUGCCAACAUAAAUUCUUGGCUGCAGAAAUAUAGAUUUACUCAGUUAAUCAGGAGAAGAGAUAAAUUUUCUAUAGCUGGAUGGCAAAAAAAAAUCAUGAAAAUGAUAAUGAGAUAAUGAUAUCUAGGAGAAACAAAUAACUUGUGGGAAAAUCAGGCCAGUGAGCAUACCUGUGACCACCAUAAGAGAAAUCUGAUAAUCAGCCAGUCUGAGUUUUCAAUCCAUCUUCGGAGCAUGGGAAAGAUAAACAAAGCAGUUGCCAAUAUAUUUGGAAGCAUGUAUACAGCCACUGCCAAAAGGUAUAGUGCAGGUAUGUCCUUCACUUCUUUAAAGAAUGACAGCAAAUCUUUGAUUUUAUCAGGGGCCACUUUGAAGGAAUGCACAUAACAUAGUGGAAGAAUGAUUGCCCAUGCAAGACUAACAAUGAUCUUGAGAACAUUUCUCAGGACAUCAGUGAAUUUCCACUUGUGGAACCCUGGGAAGUUCAGAACAAGGUCCAGAAUACCUAAAAGGAAGAAUGGUGAGACAAAAUAGUCAAUUGAAACAAAAGCUAUUUCAGAGACAGCAAAUCAGGUCCUGGGUUAAUGACGAGAGCAUUGAGGGCUCAAGUUGAAGGUAAUAUCAACAUAAAAUAAAAUAUUAAAACAAAAACAAAAAAUUAUCAGGUUUUAUCACCAAUGCUGAUUAAUAUUUUAACUCUCAUGUCAUCUUACAAGCUUCACCAAAUCAUCAAUGGAGGAGUUGGUCACGGAAAAUGCAAAAUACAUGUGAAAUAAUGUUAUCAAAAUUAGGCAGUGAUUGCAUAGUAAAAGAGUCAUAAAAAAGUCCGAAAAUUGUUGAAGAAGAAAAGAAAUGUAAUAAGAAUGUUAAAGAAACAAUUGGAAAUUUGAGGCUUAUAUUUUUUUAUGUGAUGAAUUAUACUCUUUCCAGGUUUUCUAUAAAACAAAUUCAAUAACAUUACCAUGUUACCUUUGAUUAUAAAGGAUAAUGAAAGAAGAAGGUUAUGGAUAACAAUAAUUUCACAUUAAUAUUGGAUUUAAGAGAGGAAAUAAUAAGAUGGAUAGAGGGAGCAUUAGGCUAAGAGCAUCAUACUUUGGAGGAAGCGAAGACAGGCUGCUGUGAUGAAAAUGCUGGAUAGCUGAUAUAAGACAUCCUUUUGAACAAUGUUCAGAAUCGAGACCCCACUCCAAGCAAUGAUGAUCAUUGCCUGCAACAAUAAACCCAUGUCUUACUGGAAAAGAUUAUAUUAAAAGAUAAAAACUAGAAAGAUGCGCCAAAAGGUUAAUAAAGUUGAAUGCCUGAAGAGCAAGAAUAUAAAAGGUCCACAAUCUGUCAAAACUUCGAAAAAUGUGCCAGAAGGUUCGUGUCUCUACAAAAUAUGCUUUGCCCAUGCUUCUGGGUUUUUCUGAAGAAGCCUUUUUCCCCUGACAAAGAAAUCAUGUUAAGCAGAUAGUGGUAAAUCAUUUCAAAAGGUAGUGUAUGCUGGCAACAUAAGCGCACUGUACCACAUCUCUUGUAGAAGUAAAAAAACUUCCAUCAUCACGCAUAGGCCAACCAAGAGAAAAGCAGUCCGAUGACCUGAAAGAUAUAAGCAAAGCUAAGUGUUAACCAGAACGAAGUGAUACAAAAAACUCAAAAAGAUCUGUUCUUCAUCAGAAUCCUAAUAUUAUAUCCAAACUAACCAGAAGUAUUCAUUUAGAUCAUCAUAAUUGCACCACUGUGAGUGUGAAGCUUUACCAUUUUUGCUUUUAUUGGCUUCCUGCAGUAAUUGGAACACAAUUUUCAUAUUGAGAACAAAAGGACCAGAAAUUUGAUGACGAAAUGAAUCCUUGCACAAUGACAUACCUUCUCAAUUACAUGGUAAAUUGGUGUUAUAACCUUCCUCAGGAAAGCCUCGUCGUCUCCACCAUAAGAAGGCUUAAUAUUUUCUCCAGUAACGAUGCUGACGUUUCCAGCCAACAGGCCAUGGAGUUCAUAUGCCAUCUGAACAAAUGAGAGGUCAACCUUAUGAAGCUUUUAUAUAACAGAAAAUGUGCUAAUUACUUUAAAAAAGGAUAAAUAAAGGAAAGAGCAUCCAACGCACACCAGCCUUCCAUCCCGAAUUCUGGUCUUAGAAUCACCCAUUUUCUGUCCUGAACUAGCUAAGGAGUCCGUUAAUGUUAUGAUCAGUACUUACGUUAUGAAAAAUAUAGCAUAGACAUUCAGGCAUGAAGCGAACAUUUGCUGCCUCACCCCAGAUGAGAAGAAAAAGGCCCAUGUACAGUAUCUUUCUCUGCUGGAUUUCUGGCUGGCCUUGAGGGAGCCUACAAGAACCACACAUGUAGAUGUUAACAUAGCAAAUUAAUGUUCAUUCAUUUGCAGCUUGCUUUAAGUUCUGAAUGAAUAAAAAAGAGUCCACCUACUUACCUUAAACUAUGUUUCCGCCCUAAAAACUUGCACCAUGUUUUAUAAUUCUUAAAAAGCUUGCUCAUAACUUCAUCAACAGCUCGAUCGUCAAGCUGCAUAGGAGAUGAGAGUCUAAGCAUAGCACAGCCAUUAAUUAAGUAUGGAAGUAAUAGUUAAUCAAGGAUACUUGGUGAAUUAGAAAAGGGAUUAACUAGAAAGGUUCAAAAGUUAUUCAAAUAAUUUGCAGAUUAAAUGCACAUGCACAUAUACACAUUCACUUCAGCUCCAAACCCUGAAUCAACACCACUAACAUCACAAUUACCCAUAUCCUGGAUGCUAUAGCAAUCAAAAGGUAGGAUAAUGCUAGAGCUGUAGCAACAUCUAAUAUACAACAGGAAAAAAAGAAGAAGGAUUAAGGAUUAGAGCAUACCUUGCUAAUAGGUUCAGGUUUGGGAUUAAGCCUUAUAUGUUUGUUGGCAAGUAGUAAAAUCAAAUGCUCCCUCUGGUUCCUGACAUUGUCUCUCUGCGUUCAUCAAAUUUAAGAACCAAAUUUUUAGUUACUGAAGAUUCUACUGUAACUCUCAGCAAUUGAAUUCUCUAUUCUUUUCUUUUUAAAAAAAGUGUUCUUGGGUCAAGAACAUGCCUGAAAGCCAAACAUGGCCCUCAGCCAAUCGAGAAGGUCUAAAUCACCAGCUUUCUGCCUUUGUGGAUCAAAUGCAGUGGGCCAGUUCAAGCCACGAGUGUUCCACAGUGCAGCAACAGCAGCUUUGACCUGGUAAAUAUGGACAGGAAAUUCUCAAGCAGCAUAUUAAACUAUGCAUCGAGAGAAAAGGAGUAAAAUCACAACAGCAGCAAGAUAACUAUGAAGAAUAUGUAUAACCUCCUCAAGCUGCAUUAUGGACUGUGAAGCCCCGGCAGAAUCCAGAGGAAGGAUGUUGAAAGGGGCAUAUAUUUCUUUCUUUUCCUGGACAUCUCUGGCUGCUGCAAUAAUCUGCUCAGAGUAAAGUCAUUAAAAAGUACUUCACUACCCUGAAAAGGAUUCAUGCCGUAGAAUGGCCAACUGCAUAAGAGCUAGUAAACGACAGACUAUAACAGGGACUAACCUCAGGAGCAACUUCUUCUACUUUCUCUGUUUUGUUAACAGCACAAAGCACUUCAAAAAGAACACCAGCUGUCUGAUAGGCUUUUCCAAGUUGAGCUCUGCAAAGAUAUUAAAGGUUCGUCAUCACAACAGCAUUUAUGCUCUAAAGAAAAAGGAGUAAAUAAAACAACUGAGAGAGUGAAAUAGCAUUUAUGCUAUUACCGGUCUGCUUGCUCCCCCUGGUCAAGUGCUCUAACGUAGUGUUCAUAGUACUGCUGAUAAAAGCUCUCGAUUUCCCGCGCAUCAGUCUUUUUAACCCGAGAGGCAAGACUGGAAUUAUUGUCCUGAGAUAAAUAAAAUAGUUUUCACAUAACUUCUUCUGAUGCUUCAAAACAAUCCAUGGCAAAACUAUGUGAAGUUCUUUUGGAUUAUUAUUAAAGGGCCCGAUAAUUGGAUUUGGUUUUAGAAAAUGCAAAAAAGAAGCAUUCCUACAAACAAAUUGAGUGCAGCUAUCUAUGUGAAUGAACACGCCAAGAAUGCAAUUUCAUCAUGAGACUAGCAAAGGGAACAAAUAAAUUAUCGUGACAACAACCUACUUUUGGAGAUUAUCGCAUUCCCGCUAUUCAGAAAUUCUCCUUAUUCCACAAAUGACAAAUGCAAUGCAAUUUAAUUAAUUAGUUUCUCUCUCCCACUUCCAAAUGAGACCACAAAUUCUCUCCGCCAGCUCCAGGCAUUUAAGAUUGCAAAAUGACCAUUUAGACCCCAUUAAAAGUACUAAAGUGCAAACAGGUUCUUAUGAACUUGAGCACAUUUGAUCACCACUCCUCUUUCACAACAUUUUUUUUAUUUUUCCAAAAACUCCGCCGUUGAAUAUGUUUCGACCAGGCAGAGGGGAUCUUUCGCUUGUCAUAAUUCUUAAUAGAUAUAAUUACUGUUCCAUUACCCCCAUUAUGCUCACUCAAAUCAGAUAUGAAAAACAACACAAGAAAGAAUGUCAUCAAAACCAUUGAUGAUUUAGAAACAGAAUUUAACAAAAGUAAAAUUACCCUCUCCAAUCUCUGCAGCAAAGAUGUCUUGAACUGCCUCACACCACGACCACUUGAAUUUGGAUCCAGUCUAUGGGCCUUCUCAAACGCAUAAAACCUACCUAUAUUUCCCCAAAUCGAAAAAAGAAAGAAAGAAAAAGAAAAUAAAUAAUAAACAAUGAUUAAAAGAAUAGUGAUUUCCUUGUUACAACAUAGUCGCUAAAAUUGAUGCAACAUCAUUACGUACAGAGAUAGGCAACGCGAGGGCGUUCAUGUUCGAUUUCAGCUGCAAUGCGGAGAACAGGGGCGAUGGAACCGAGUGAGGAAGGGACGACCUCAUUAUCAAAAACCUCAAGAGAGAAUGUAGUGGUGGCAGCGCUGCGAGACGGCCUCCGGCUCAGCAUCUGUGACCCAGAUAGUUCCAGGUUCGACAUUGUUAUUCAAUCAAAUGCUAGCUCGUGAGCUAGCCACCUUUUGCUCCUAACAGUGUCUUAUUUCGGUAAUUUUAACCACCUGCUAGAGAGUAAAUUAAUGAAAAUCAGUAAUUAUGAAUUUAUCUUCUCCUUUUUUCAAGUCUGGUUGGGAAAUGAGAAAAUAUGUAGGAAAGAGAGGAAAAAACGUAAGAAACAAGCUAAUUAUCUGAACAUUGCUUUUGCGCUACAGCUACAUUUUCAGCUUAAUUAUCGCUUAAAUUGGAAAGAAUAAAUUAGAGCAAAAACUCUCGUGAAAUUCAUUCAUUUAGCAUCUAAUUGAAUUAAAACUCGGCUUAUUCCUUAUUAAUGGUGCAGUUACAUUUUCUCGUUUGGUUUUCCUGUUAUUUAUCGGCAACCAAACAGAUGAUAAAAAAGUAAAAAAAAAUAAAUAUUAUGAGAUCUCAUUUAAUUCUACUCUCAGAUUCUCGUUUUUCUUUUUCUUUUUAUUUUUCCCAGCAACCAAACAGAAAACAACAGUGCACAACUGCACAUACGUUCCCUCCUUUCUUUUCCAGUGGUUUCUCAUAAACCAAACAACACAAUGAGAAACAAUAUAUUAGCAAUUAUAACUUCUAACCUAUUUUUCCUUUCCUUCUUAGCAAACAAACAGAGAGAUAAACAAACAAACAAACAAAUAUUUCAGAAUUCUUUUUCGUUUCUCGAAACCAAACAGAGAAAAACAAAUAAAAUAAAAACGCACGUUAUAAUUAAACUCAAACUUCUCCGUCUAAUUUGUUCUUUCUCUACAACAAUCACUCAUUCUUUUUAAUCUUCCUACCGUUUCUCAGAAACCAAACAGAAACGACUUAAUCCUUCAAUAAUAUGUAUCAGGUUAAUAAAUACCAGCCAACUCCGUCUAGUAACAAGAAACUAUACGUAAGGACAUGAAGAAAUUGUACGAAAUAAAAAAUAAAUCUAGCAUUCAUUAUUUCUUUUCUUUUCUCAGCAACCAAACAGAAACCACAACACAAAGGAGGAGGAGGAGAUUCCAGAAACAUGAAGCUUACGCGUUUUACAAGGAGAGAUGGAUAGAGGAGUAUUUUAAUCACCUAAUUCGCCUAUAAAGAAACAAAAACAAAAUCAAGUUUAUGAUGGAAAACCGGAAAUUUCUAGAGAGAAAGAAAAAUGUUAGAGAGAGAUACAGAUUUCUUUUUGGAAUUUAGUAACCUUUCGCAGAGAGAGGCAAGAGGAGAGGCAAAGAGGGAAAGAGAGUCUACUGAGAGAUUAAAUGGACGAGGAAACAUAAAAAUACGCGCGCGUUGUUUGUCCGUACAUUUUUGGACAUGUGGCGGGGAAUGAGAGGGAGGGUGGUAAGAGAGAUGAAAAGGCGAGUGGAGGUGCGCCGUUUUCGGGAUGGAAGGAGGCCGUUUUGAAGGGGUCGUCCGAUUUUCUCUAUUUGUUUUGUUUCCUUUCUUUCGCUGUCUAUCGACCUUGUAAUAACUUAAUUUUGUUUUUGACGGAAUUUUAAUUGUGAUCGAUAAUUUUGGGUUUGGAGAUUGACUGGGACCCAUUGGACGAGGCCGAUGUUUUGGCCUUCGUGGAAUGAGGUGGUUUGCUUUCUAGUUUUUUUAAUUAAAAUAAUAUAUUUUUUAUUUUUUAAAAUUUAUUUUUCAAAAUCAAGUCUAAUUUAAAAAUAUAAAAAUAAUUAAUUUUAAGUAAAAUAAUAAAUUUCAACUCAUCUUUGUUUUGACGGCAAUUUCAAAUAUAGAUUAAGGAUUAAAUAGUGUGUGUGUGUAUAUAUAUAUAUAUAUAUAUAUAUAUGGUUUUGAGCUAUCAUGAUUGAAUCAUAGUUUUUUUAAAAUAACUUUUUAAUUGUUUUCUAAUCGAAAGAAAUUCAAAAGAUAAAAUAGAUAUUUUUUAAGAAAUAACAGUAACAGGUGAUUAUUUAUUUUAUAUGAAAUGAAAUCAAUUACCAUUUGGAAGUUGAUUAUAUAAAAGAAAGGUGUUUUUGAAAGAUCUAAUCGUAUAUAUGGAAGGAGAAUCUGUUAAGGAGAAAUUAUAGUAAUUUUUUUAUAUAUAUUAGUACUAACUUUUUCAAAUUAGUUUUCAAAAAAUCAUAUUUAAUUCAAAUGCUUUAUAUAACUUUUUAAUUGUUUGCUAAUCGAAAGAAAUUCAAAAGAUAAAAUAGGCAUUUUCUAAGAAAUAACAGUAACAUGUGAUUAUUUAUUUUAUAUGAAAUGAAAUCAAUUACCAUUUAGAAGUUGAUUUUAUAAAAGAAAGAUGUUUUUGGAAGAUCCAAUCGUACAUAUGGAAGGAGAAUCUAUUAAGGAGAAAUUAUAGUAAUUUAAUAUUUUGCUUUUUUAUAUAUAUAUUAGUACUAACUUUUUCAAAUUAGUUUUCAAAAAAUCAUAUUUAAUUUUAAAUGUUUUAUAUAAAUUUUUAAUUGUUUGCUAAUAGAAAUAAAUUCAAAAGAUAAAAUAGGCAUUUUCUAAGAAAUAACAAUAACAUGUGAUUAUUUAUUUUAUAUGAAAUGAAAUCAAUUACCAUUUGGAAGUUGAUUAUAUAAAAGAAAGGUGUUUUUGGAAGAUCCAAUCGUAUAUAUGGAAGGAGAAUCUAUUAAAGAGAAAUUAUAAUAAUUUAAUUUUUGUUUUUUUAUAUUAGUACUAACCUUUUCAAAUUAGUUUUCAAAAAAUCAUAUUUAAUUUCAAAUGCUUUAUAUAUAUAUAUAUAUAACAUUUGUUCUUGUAACCUCUUGUUUGAUUAAGGAUGAAAUAGUGUGUGUGUAUAUAGAGAGAGAGAGAGG